GUUCAAGAGUCGUAACCGUAGGUACCUGGCCGGUUACGCGACAACCCGAAUCCAUCGAUUCCCGGGUGUCCCAGGGGAAGAACGGGUUUCACGAAAUCUCGUGAAACAAGUUUCGAUG
rfam:Agrococcus casei LMG 22410 genome assembly, contig: Scaffold4